GAUAGAAUAAUCCAAGACGAGUCCUUGAGACUUGUUUACUGUGUGAAUUGUACGCAAUCUUUUAGGGGUCGGUCUCUGUGCCGUUAAAUGGUCGUCCGCCGCUUGGCGUGCGUUCGGUCAGCCCCGACUUUAUGUUUUUUCAAACUUUGUUUAUUCAGUCUGAGAACCAAUAGUGUUGGUAAACGAAAAAGAGAAAGACA
rnacentral:misc_RNA from 1 species